CAGAAGGGAGCUUGCUCCCGGAUGUUAGCGGCGGACGGGUGAGUAACACGUGGGUAACCUGCCUGUAAGACUGGGAUAACUCCGGGAAACCGGAGCUAAUACCGGAUAGUUCCUUGAACCGCAUGGUUCAAGGAUGAAAGACGGUUUCGGCUGUCACUUACAGAUGGACCCGCGGCGCAUUAGCUAGUUGGUGGGGUAAUGGCUCACCAAGGCGACGAUGCGUAGCCGACCUGAGAGGGUGAUCGGCCACACUGGGACUGAGACACGGCCCAGACUCCUACGGGAGGCAGCAGUAGGGAAUCUUCCGCAAUGGACGAAAGUCUGACGGAGCAACGCCGCGUGAGUGAUGAAGGUUUUCGGAUCGUAAAGCUCUGUUGUUAGGGAAGAACAAGUGCGAGAGUAACUGCUCGCACCUUGACGGUACCUAACCAGAAAGCCACGGCUAACUACGUGCCAGCAGCCGCGGUAAUACGUAGGUGGCAAGCGUUGUCCGGAAUUAUUGGGCGUAAAGGGCUCGCAGGCGGUUUCUUAAGUCUGAUGUGAAAGCCCCCGGCUCAACCGGGGAGGGUCAUUGGAAACUGGGAAACUUGAGUGCAGAAGAGGAGAGUGGAAUUCCACGUGUAGCGGUGAAAUGCGUAGAGAUGUGGAGGAACACCAGUGGCGAAGGCGACUCUCUGGUCUGUAACUGACGCUGAGGAGCGAAAGCGUGGGGAGCGAACAGGAUUAGAUACCCUGGUAGUCCACGCCGUAAACGAUGAGUGCUAAGUGUUAGGGGGUUUCCGCCCCUUAGUGCUGCAGCUAACGCAUUA
rnacentral:rRNA from 1 species